rnacentral:rRNA from 1 species
UGGGGAAUAUGCACAAUGGGCGCAAGCCUGAUGCAGCCAUGCCGCGUGUGUGAAGAAGGCCUUCGGGUUGUAAAGCACUUUCAGCGAGGAGGAAGGUGUGAGCUUAAUACGCUCAUCAAUUGACGUUACUCGCAGAAGAAGCACCGGCUAACUCCGUGCCAGCAGCCGCGGUAAUACGGAGGGUGCAAGCGUUAAUCGGAAUUACUGGGCGUAAAGCGCACGCAGGCGGUUUGUUAAGGUCAAGAUGUGAAAAGUCCCCGGGCUCAACCUGGAACUGCAUUUGAAACUGGCAAGCUAGAGUCUCGUAGAGGGGGGUAGAAUUCCAGGUGUAGCGGUGAAAUGCGUAGAGAUCUGGAGG